AACUGUCAUGGGUCCCGUGAGGGUAUCAUUUAGCAUAUGCUAAUAUAUUAUAGCGAGUGUAUAAUGAAGCUCAAAGUUCACUGGAGGUUGAAUCUUCUGUCAUCUUGGACCUGGUCAGUUCUAACCAGUUUUUGUCAUGUCAUAUGGCUAUGCCAUUCUUUUAAAGGUUGUUUUCUGAUUCCCUCCCUCCAGUUUCACAACUACCUUCUUCAGAUGAGCACCUGACAGACAGGCCCAGAUUCCCGCAGCUGACAGCUAGCCCUGUGUUGCGGCUUCUCUGCGGAAACCAGCCUGUCAGAUGGAAGGGCAUGAAGCUCCAGGGCAGAUCCUGCGUGGACUGAGGAGCUUCAUGGGACCACGGAUGGUUUCUGUCACAGUCACAUCAACCCCCACAAGGUGUGUUUUGCUCUGGCAUCAUAUUUCCUGGCAUUUGGUGAGUGAGAGGAUGAUGUGUUCAAUUCACUUUUAUUCUGACUCAUUUGUGGGAAGGGAAAUUUAAUUCUCUGGGAACCCUUGUUUGUAUUAGUGUUAAAUCAUUUGUCUGCUGUUUAAUGAUUUAUACACACUGUGCAAAGAGGUCCCAGAAUUGCUUUCCUGAU
rnacentral:lncRNA from 1 species